ACGCACGCUGGCGGCGUGCUUAACACAUGCAAGUCGAACGGAAAGGCCCUGCUUUUGUGGGGUGCUCGAGUGGCGAACGGGUAAGUAACACGUGAGUAACCUGCCUUUGACUUUGGGAUAACUUCAGGAAACUGGGGCUAAUACCGGAUAGGAGCUCCUGCUGCAUGGUGGGGGUUGGAAAGUUUCGGCGGUUGGGGAUGGACUCGCGGCUUAUCAGCUUGUUGGUGGGGUAGUGGCUUACCAAGGCUUUGACGGGUAGCCGGCCUGAGAGGGUGACCGGCCACAUUGGGACUGAGAUACGGCCCAGACUCCUACGGGAGGCAGCAGUGGGGAAUAUUGCACAAUGGGCGGAAGCCUGAUGCAGCAACGCCGCGUGCGGGAUGACGGCCUUCGGGUUGUAAACCGCUUUCGCCUGUGACGAAGCGUGAGUGACGGUAAUGGGUAAAGAAGCACCGGCUAACUACGUG
rnacentral:rRNA from 1 species